UACGGAGGGUGCAAGCGUUAUCCGGAAUUACUGGGCGUAAAGCGUGCGUAGGUGGUGAGUUAAGUCUGUCGUGAAAGCCCCGGGCUCAACCUGGGAAUGGCGAUGGAUACUGGCUCGCUAGAGUGCGGUAGAGGAGAGUGGAAUUCCCGGUGUAGCAGUGAAAUGCGUAGAGAUCGGGAGGAACAUCAGUUGCGAAGGCGGCUCUCUGGACCAGCACUGACACUGAGGCACGAAAGCGUGGGGAGCAAACAGG
rnacentral:rRNA from 1 species